GACGAACCGUGCGAACGUUAUUCGGAAUCACUGGGCGUAAAGCGCACGUAGGCGGACUCUUAAGUCGGUGGUGAAAUCCUGGAGCUCAACUCCAGAACUGCCUUCGAUACUGGGAGUCUUGAGUCCGGGAGAGGUGAGUGGAACUGCGAGUGUAGAGGUGAAAUUCGUAGAUAUUCGCAAGAACACCAGUGGCGAAAGCGGCGCACUGGCCCGGUACUGACGCUGAGGUGCGAAAGCGUGGGGAGCAAACAGG
rnacentral:rRNA from 1 species